AGUGAACGCUGGCGGUAGGCCUUACACAUGCAAGUCGAACGGCAGCACAGUAAGAGCUUGCUCUUACGGGUGGCGAGUGGCGGACGGGUGAGGAAUACAUCGGAAUCUACUUUUUCGUGGGGGAUAACGUAGGGAAACUUACGCUAAUACCGCAUACGACCUACGGGUGAAAGCAGGGGAUCUUCGGACCUUGCGCGAUUGAAUGAGCCGAUGUCGGAUUAGCUAGUUGGCGGGGUAAAGGCCCACCAAGGCGACGAUCCGUAGCUGGUCUGAGAGGAUGAUCAGCCACACUGGAACUGAGACACGGUCCAGACUCCUACGGGAGGCAGCAGUGGGGAAUAUUGGACAAUGGGCGCAAGCCUGAUCCAGCCAUACCGCGUGGGUGAAGAAGGCCUUCGGGUUGUAAAGCCCUUUUGUUGGGAAAGAAAAGCAGCAGGUUAAUACCCCGCUGUUAUGACGGUACCCGAAGAAUAAGCACCGGCUAACUUCGUG
rnacentral:rRNA from 1 species